UCAACAUGGCCCAGCAAAUCGGCCAGUCCCA
rnacentral:piRNA from 1 species